rnacentral:rRNA from 4 species
AAGAGUUUGAUCAUGGCUCAGAUUGAACGCUGGCGGCAGGCCUAACACAUGCAAGUCGAACGGUAACAGGAAGCAGCUUGCUGCUUCGCUGACGAGUGGCGGACGGGUGAGUAAUGUCUGGGAAACUGCCUGAUGGAGGGGGAUAACUACUGGAAACGGUGGCUAAUACCGCAUAACGUCGCAAGACCAAAGAGGGGGACCUUCGGGCCUCUUGCCAUCAGAUGUGCCCAGAUGGGAUUAGCUUGUUGGUGAGGUAACGGCUCACCAAGGCGACGAUCCCUAGCUGGUCUGAGAGGAUGACCAGCCACACUGGAACUGAGACACGGUCCAGACUCCUACGGGAGGCAGCAGUGGGGAAUAUUGCACAAUGGGCGCAAGCCUGAUGCAGCCAUGCCGCGUGUAUGAAGAAGGCCUUCGGGUUGUAAAGUACUU